rnacentral:rRNA from 1 species
GGACACUGUCUCAGCCAUGAGCUCGGUGAAAUUGUAGUAUCGGUGAAGAUGCCGGUUACCCGCAGUGGGACGAAAAGACCCCGUGCACCUUUACUAUAGCUUCGUAUUGACCUUGGGCAACCAAUGUGUAGGAUAGCUGGGAGACUUUGAAGCUGCGUCGCUAGGCGUGGUGGAGUCGUUGUUGAAAUACCACCCUUAUUUUAUCUGAUGCCUAAUCCCUCACAGGAGACAUUGUGUGGUGGGUAGUUUGACUGGGGUGGUCGCCUCCAAAAGAGUAACGGAGGCUCCUAAAGGUACCCUCAACACGUUUGGUAAUCGUGUGUAGAGUGUAAUGGCAUAAGGGUGCUUGACUGAGAGACCGACAAGUCGACCAGGUAGGAAACUAGAGCAUAGUGAUCCGGUGGUUCCGCAUGGAAGGGCCAUCGCUCAAAGGAUAAAAGGUAC